rnacentral:rRNA from 1 species
CGGAUUGGAGUCUGNAACCCGACUCCAUGAAGCUGGAUUCGCUAGUAAUCGCGCAUCAGCCACGGCGCGGUGAAUAUGUUCCCGGGCCUUGUACACACCGCCCGUCACACCAUGAGAGUUGGGAAUACCCGAAGCCUGUGAGCUAACAUUUAUGAGGCAGCAGUCGAAGGUAGAAUCAAUGAUUGGGGUGAAGUCGUAACAAGGUACC